ensembl:rRNA 5S_rRNA 5S ribosomal RNA
CUGAAUACGCCCGAUCUCGUCUGAUCUCGGAAGCUAAGCAG